rnacentral:rRNA from 1 species
GAUGAACGCUGGCGGCGUGCCUAACACAUGCAAGUCGAACGAAGCUUGACGGAUGAUUUCUUCGGAAUGAAACCAGAUAUGACUUAGUGGCGGACGGGUGAGUAACACGUGAGCAACCUGCCUUUCAGAGGGGGAUAACGGCUGGAAACGGUCGCUAAUACCGCAUGAUGUGUUCGGAGGGCAUCAUCUGAACAUCAAAGAUUUAUCGCUGAAAGAUGGGCUCGCGUCUGAUUAGAUAGAUGGUGGGGUAACGGCCUACCAAGUCUACGAUCAGUAGCCGGACUGAGAGGUUGAACGGCCACAUUGGGACUGAGAUACGGCCCAGACUCCUACGGGAGGCAGCAGUGGGGAAUAUUGCACAAUGGGGGAAACCCUGAUGCAGCAACGCCGCGUGAAGGAUGACGGUUUUCGGAUUGUAAACUUCUUUUCUUAGGGACGAAGACAGUGACGGUAGCUAAGGAAUAAGCAUCGGCUAACUACGUG